UCCGGUUUAACACCGGCAGUCUCCUUAGAGUGCCCAACUGAAUGGUAGCAACUAAGGAUAAGGGUUGCGCUCGUUAAGGGACUUAACCCGACAUCUCACGAUACGAGCUGACGACAGCCAUGCAGCACCUAUCACCCGGUCUCCGAAGAGAAAACUAUAUUUCUAUAGCGGUCCGGGGAUGUUAAGCCCAGGUAAGGUUUUUCGCGUUGCAUCGAAUUAAACCACAUGCUCCACCGCUUGUGCGGGCCCCCGUCAAUUCCUUUGAGUUUUAAUCUUGCGACCGUACUUCCCAGGCGGAGUACUUAAUGCGUUAGCGUCGGCACUGCGGGGGUCAAUACCCACAACACCUAGUACUCAUCGUUUACGGCGUGGACUAC
rnacentral:misc_RNA from 1 species